GUACUUCCAGAAGGAUAAUAUAGGCUGAAUAGAUACAGUCCUUAGGAGGACAUGAUUUGAACAAACAGGACAAAAGGAUUACAAAACUGCCACUAACUCAAGUUCUCUGUAAAUUGAUUCUUUAAAACUCCUAUACAUGUGUGCAUGAAAGUGUGCGCACACACACUCUAAAUUUUGGUGAACAGCAUCAUCAGCUACUUGUCAACUAAGAUCUUCAACCACCACUAAACAUGGCUCACAUGAUCUGUAUUUUACUCGAAAAGCAGCAGACUUUUGGAGAAAAUCAAGAAGAGAAGAGCAUGUCAAGUUUUGCACAGUAGUUUACCCUGGCUCCAAAAUAACACAGACUGCCAUUUCACCGGAGUAGCUACUGAAGCUUGCUAUUAGAGCUGCUACGACUGGGAAGACAAAAACGGGGAAAUUUU